rnacentral:rRNA from 1 species
AGAGUUUGAUCCUGGCUCAGGAUGAACGCUGGCGGCGUGCCUAACACAUGCAAGUUGAGCGAUUUACUUCGGUAAAGAGCGGCGGACGGGUGAGUAACGCGUGGGUAACCUACCCUGUACACACGGAUAACAUACCGAAAGGUAUGCUAAUACGGGAUAAUAUAUUUGAGAGGCAUCUCUUAAAUAUCAAAGGUGAGCCAGUACAGGAUGGACCCGCGUCUGAUUAGCUAGUUGGUAAGGUAACGGCUUACCAAGGCGACGAUCAGUAGCCGACCUGAGAGGGUGAUCGGCCACAUUGGAACUGAGACACGGUCCAAACUCCUACGGGAGGCAGCAGUGGGGAAUAUUGCACAAUGGGCGAAAGCCUGAUGCAGCAACGCCGCGUGAGUGAUGAAGGCCUUCGGGUCGUAAAACUCUGUCCUCAAGGAAGAUAAUGACGGUACUUGAGGAGGAAGCCCCGGCUAACUACGUGCCAGCAGCCGCGGUAAUACGUAGGGGGCUAGCGUUAUCCGGAUUUACUGGGCGUAAAGGGUGCGUAGGCGGUCUUUCAAGUCAGGAGUGAAAGGCUACGGCUCAACCGUAGUAAGCUCUUGAAACUGGGAGACUUGAGUGCAGGAGAGGAGAGUGGAAUUCCUAGUGUAGCGGUGAAAUGCGUAGAUAUUAGGAGGAACACCAGUUGCGAAGGCGGCUCUCUGGACUGUAACUGACGCUGAGGCACGAAAGCGUGGGGAGCAAACAGGAUUAGAUACCCUGGUAGUCCACGCUGUAAACGAUGAGUAC